rnacentral:rRNA from 1 species
AGUGAACGCUGGCGGUAGGCCUAACACAUGCAAGUCGAACGGCAGCACAGUAAGAGCUUGCUCUUACGGGUGGCGAGUGGCGGACGGGUGAGGAAUACAUCGGCAUCUACUUUUUCGUGGGGGAUAACGUAGGGAAACUUACGCUAAUACCGCAUAUGAUCUACGGGUGAGAGCAGGGGAUCUUCGGACCUUGCGUGAUUCAAUGAGCCGAUGUCGGAUGAGCUAGUUGGCGGGGUAAAGGCCCACCAAGGCGACGCUGCGUAGCAGGUCUGAGAGGAUGGUCAGCCACACUAGAGCUGAGACACGGUCCAGACUCCUACGGGGGGCAAGAGUGGGAAGUGUUGGAGAAGGGGCGCAGGCCGGACACAGCCAGACCGCCUGGGGCAGGAAGGCCUUGGGGUGGUAAACCCCUUUUGUGGGGAAAAAAAAGUAUGCGAUUAACAACGCGCUGUUCGAAGGUAACCCAAAGAAAAGCCACGGCCAACCACGUG